rnacentral:lncRNA from 1 species
UUUUUCCUAAUUUAAAUGAUGGCUAGCUGGGAUUAUAAGAAUUCUGCAAAAACAUCUGUCUUUUGCUAUUUCUUUCCUUGGGAAGUGAUUUGCCAAUUUCAUUGGAGAGGCAGUCUCUUCUGGUUCUCACAUGCUGAAAUCUGUUCUAUAAUUCAUCAUUAGGAAAUACUAGCUAUGUGGCAUGUGAAGGGCUGACCUCUAGGGAUGGCAUCAAAGAGCAAACUUGCCCUGUGGCUCCCUGUUGGGUUCUACCAAGGGGAAACAUGUGAAAGGAAGUACAGGGGAGGAAGAUGACGGUAGCACUCACGUUGAAGAAAACAGAAAAAGAUUUUGGUUGAGAACUGUGACUGCACAGAAUAGCAACAUGAAUUCUACUUUUUGUCUUUCAUGGUCUAUACCUGUGCUAUUCA